rnacentral:rRNA from 3 species
UACGGAGGGUGCAAGCGUUAAUCGGAAUUACUGGGCGUAAAGCGCAUGUAGGUGGUUAACUAAGUCAGCUGUGAAAUCCCCGGGCUCAACCUGGGCACUGCAGUUGAAACUGGUUAGCUAGAGUAGGGUAGAGGGGUGUGGAAUUCCAGGUGUAGCGGUGAAAUGCGUAGAUAUCUGGAGGAACAUCAGUGGCGAAGGCGACACCCUGGACUCAUACUGACACUGAGAUGCGAAAGCGUGGGGAGCAAACAGG